rnacentral:rRNA from 1 species
UGUAAUCGUAUACCAAAGUUGUUGCAGUUAAAACGCUCGUAGUCGGAAUUUGGCAGUUCCGGAUGUGUGCACGUCGUGUGCGCACUUCGCGGGGAUUGCUUUUGUGGUCUUGCGUAGGAUGAGGCACUUUUAUUAGUGAACGUCCUCACGCAACCACUUUUUACUGUGAGAAAAUCAGAGUGCUCAAAGCAGGCAUUUGCCGUGAAUGUAUUAGCAUGGAAUAAUAGAAUAGGACUUGGUUCUAUUUUGUUGGUUUGUUGGGACUGAGUAAUGAUUAAGAGGGACAGUUGGGGGCAUUUGUAUUUCGGUGCUAGAGGUGAAAUUCUUAGAUUACCGAAAGACAAACUGCUGCGAAAGCGUCUGCCAAGGAUGUUUUCAUUGA